GUCGCUGCAACCCCGCAAAGAGCUGAAAUCAAAACGAGCCGGCGAAGAGUAAAAGAAUAAACGUCAUCCCACAUACAGCGUCUUCUUCUACAACGUAAUUUGCUCAAAUGCUGGGAGGAAUUCAACACUUGACCCGAGCAGGAACCGGCUUCCGUGGUACCGUAAACGUCAAUAAAGCUACUUCUGCUUCUUAAAGGACCUCGGCCUGAUGCGAAGCGUCGAGCGUGUCAAACGGACGUGAGGAAAGCCGCCAGCAGCCGGGACCCUUUAUAAGGUAGAGCCGGAACCACGCCCCCCCCCCCCCCCAGCCGUCCUGAAGCACCCCCCCCCUCCCUCUCCCUCCCCAUCUCCGCCCCUGCAGUCCAUUUCAAUACGGAAGGAGAAUCCCGAAAAAAGGCCGAUGUGGCCCCCUGGCGUGCUGUUGAUUGGCCCGGUCGGACCGGCGGCCACCCGGGCUGCGGCACGACCCCCCCCCCCCACUCCCCCAUACGCCGACGCACACUCCAAAGUUAGAUCGUGAUGUUGAAAAGGGUUGCUGGGGGUGCGGGGUGGGGUGGGGGUCUCCUGUGUGCGGCCUAUCCCGAGGUGGGGGGGCGUGAAAGUCCUUCAUUGCCGCGGCUGUCACCUCAAUGGAACCUUUAACACGUCGCUUAGCCAAAAGGGAAAAAAAAAAUUUACAAGCUUGCAAAGUUGACUGUAAACACACACACACACGCACAAAUAAUAAUAAUAAUAACAAUAAAAUGAGUCACGGGCGUGUUACUGUCAUGGUGGAGCCCGAACCACAACGUGCAUUAGAUAACAAAUGUAAAUAAAAUAAAAGAAUUGCAUGCCGUCGUCGUUUGUUCAUUUAUUUAUGGAACAUUUAAUGUACAGAUAAAACAAUAAAACAAAGAACGGUAAAAAAAAAUGAAACAAUAUCACUACAAUGUAAAAGAUAAACGUAGAAUGAAUCAAUACUUCAUUACAAGGUUUUAUGAGGGGUAUUCGACACAUUCUGGAACUCAUGUACACGUUGGA